rnacentral:rRNA from 1 species
GACGAACGCUGGCGGCGUGCUUAACACAUGCAAGUCGAACGGAAAGGCCCUGCUUUUGUGCGGUGCUCGAUUGCCGAACGGGUGUGUAACACGUGUGUAACCUGCCCUUGUCUUUGGGAUAACUUCACGAAACUGGGGCUAAUAUCGGAUAGGAUCUCCUGCUGCACGGUGGGGGUUGGUAAGUUUCGGCGGUUGGGGAUGGACUCGCGGCUUAUCAGCUUGUUGGUGGGGUAGUGGCUUACCAAGGCUUUGACGGGUAGGCGGCAUGGGAGGGGGGCCGGGCACAUUGGGACUAAGAUAGGGAGCAGACUGCAACGGGAGGCAGCAGGGGGAAAUAUGGCACAAUAGGCGGGCGUGUGAUGCAGAAGCGCCGGGUGCGGGAAGAUCGCCUACGGGUUGAAAACCGCUUUCGACGGUGACGAAGCGUGAGUGACGGUAAUGGGUAAAGAAGCACCGGCUAACUACGUG